AUGGUUUGACCUCGGAUCAG
rnacentral:rRNA from 1 species